GUGCUUGCUUCGGCUGCACAUAUACUAAAAUUGGAAUGAUACAGAGAAGAUUAGCAUAGCCUCUGCACAAGGAUGACACGCAAAGUGUAAAGUGUUCCAUAUUUUU
ensembl:snRNA U6 U6 spliceosomal RNA